ensembl:lncRNA
UUUUUAUUUAUUUAAUUUUUCCCAAUUGUCCAAAUUAGUCUGUGAUUGGCCUUAUUGUCCAAGAAAUCAUACUUAUAUACAAAUAAAUGUGACUCUCAAAUAUGAUUUAAAUGGAUCAUUCCUCACUUGAUGGCGAAUUAUCCAUUUAAAUAUUUGCUGAGUCCUAAAAUUGAUGCCAGUGAACUUAUCAGCGGUUGGUUUUAAAAAAAAGCCCCAAAAAUCCCCUAUGAGCAAGCACUUGGCGACGGUGGGGAGGAAAAACUCCCUUUUAACAGGGAGAAACCUCCGACAGAACCAGGCUCAGGAAGGGGUGGCCAUCUGUCGCUGCCGACUGGGGUUCAACUGUUCACUGUGCAUCCUCCUUCUGACAGGAGCUUCCUACAGACCAGGUAUGAAUGAUGCCUGAGUGGACAUACAAAACUCACAAGUUCCUGGCUCUCACGGCUCCUCUGCAGAGGGUUAGUCGAAGAAGGAGGGGCAUCAGGGGGCGGGGGACUGUGCCUCACUGCCCUCCCCUUCUCGAAGAAACCCGUCUUCAACCGAGCCGAGAGAGCCAGGAACUUGUGAGGUGUGCAUGUCCUGGUGAGCCUCCACCUUUUUAUAGGUGGGUGCAGCCUCGACUGUAUAGAGACAGACCAGGCCAGCUGCACCACACAGACACUUCAAACCUCAUCUGAGGACAUAAAACACACAUAUACAUAUAUAUCUAUAUUACUAUUAAAAAAAAAAUACAGUUAGGGUUCUUUUACAAUGUCAGAAGGAGGGAGGCACUAAGGCACCGCCUUCCGCCCCUGGACGCCCUCGCGGUGCCCCCCUCCUUCUGACAAGAACUUCCUACAGACCAGGUAUGAAUGAUGCCUGAGUGGACAUACAAAACUCACAAGUUCCUGGCUCCCACGGCUCCUCUGCAGCGGGUUAGUCGAAGAAGGAGGGGCAUCGCGAGGGGCGUCGGGGGGCGGGGGACUGUGCCUCACUGCCCUCCCCUUCUCGAAGAAACCCGUCUUCAACCGAGCCGAGAGAGCCAGGAACUUGUGAGGUGUGCAUGUCCUGGUGAGCCUCCACCUUUUUAUAGGUGGGUGCAGCCUCGACUGUAUAGAGACAGACCAGGCCAGCUGCACCACACAGACACUUCAAACCUCAUCUGAGGACACAAAACACACAUAUACAUAUACAUCUAUAUUACUAUUAAAAAAAACAAUACAGUUAGGGUUCUUUUACAAUGUCAGAAGGAGG